GACGAACGCUGGCGGCGUGCUUAACACAUGCAAGUCGAACGCUGAAGCUCAGCUUUUGUUGGGUGGAUGAGUGGCGAACGGGUGAGUAACACGUGAGUAACCUGCCCCCUUCUUUGGGAUAACGCCCGGAAACGGGUGCUAAUACUGGAUAUUCACUGGUCUUCGCAUGGGGGUUGGUGGAAAGGGUUUUUCUGGUGGGGGAUGGGCUCGCGGCCUAUCAGCUUGUUGGUGGGGUGAUGGCCUACCAAGGCUUUGACGGGUAGCCGGCCUGAGAGGGUGACCGGUAACAUGGGGACUGAGAUACGGCCCAGACUCCUACGGGAGGCGGCAGUGGGGAAUAUUGCACAAUGGGCGCAAGCCUGAUGCAGCGACGCCGCGUGAGGGAUGGAGGCCUUCGGGUUGUGAACCUCUUUCGCUCAUGGUCAAGCCGCAACAAUGGUUGUGGUGAGGGUAGUGGGUAAAGAAGCGCCGGCUAACUACGUG
rnacentral:rRNA from 1 species